UGACCUCGGAUCAGGUAGGGAUACCCGCUGAACUUAAGCAUAUCAAUAAGCGGAGGAAGGA
rnacentral:rRNA from 1 species